GAGUUGAAUCCUGGCUCAGAUUGAACGCUACCGGCAUGCCUAACACAUGCAAGUCGAACGGGACAGCGCGGAGAGAACUUGUUUUUCUCUAGCGAGUUGAGUGGCGAACGGGUGAGUAAUGCGUAGGAAUCUACCUUUUAGAGGGGGAUAACCCGAGGAAACUCGGGCUAAUACCGCGUAGUAUCUCUUUUCAUAGAAAAGUUGAAGAAAGCGGGGGAUCCUUGAGUUUUUUUAAGGACCUCGCGCUAAAAGAUGAGCCUGCGUCGGAUUAGUUAGUUGGUGGGGUAAUAGCCCACCAAGACGAUGAUCCGUAGCUGGUCUGAGAGGAUGAUCAGCCACACUGGGACUGAGACACGGCCCAGACUCCUAUGGGAGGCAGCAGUGGGGAAUAUUGGACAAUGGGGGAAACCCUGAUCCAGCAAUGCCGCGUGUGUGAAGAAGGCCUUCGGGUUGUAAAGCACUUUCAGCAGGAAAGAAAGUCUUAAAGUUAAUACCUUUAAUGAGUUGACGUUACCUGCAGAAGAAGCACUGGCUAACUCUGUGCCAGCAGCCGCGGUAAUACAGAGAGUGCAAACGUUAAUCGGAAUUACUGGGCGUAAAGCGCGCGUAGGUGGAUAUUAAAGUCGGGUGUGAAAGCCCCGAGCUUAACUCGGGAAUUGCGUUCGAUACUGAGUAUCUAGAGUAUAGUAGAGGGAAGUGGAAUUUCCGGCGUAGCGGUGAAAUGCGUAGAUAUCGGAAGGAACACCAGUGGCGAAGGCGGCUUCCUGGACUAAUACUGACACUGAGGUGCGAAAGCGUAGGGAGCAAACAGGAUUAGCUACCGUGGUAGUC
rnacentral:rRNA from 1 species